GACGAACGCUGGCGGCGUGCUUAACACAUGCAAGUCGAACGGUGAAGCGCCUUCCUUUUUGGUGGGUGUGGAUGAGUGGCGAACGGGUGAGUAACACGUGAGUAACCUGCCCCCUUCUUCUGGAUAACCGCAUGAAAGUGUGGCUAAUACGGGAUAUUCUGGGUCUGUCGCAUGAUGGGUCUGGGAAAGAUAUUGUUUCGGUGGGGGAUGGGCCCGCGGCCUAUCAGCUUGUUGGUGGGGUGAUGGCCUACCAAGGCGGGGACGGGUAGCCGGCCUGAGAGGUUGGCGGGCCGAAGGGGGAGUGGGACACGGCCCGAACGACGACGGGAGGAAGCGGUGGGGAAAGUUACAAGAGGGGAGGAAGCCUGAUGCGGCGGAGCCGCGGGGGGGAGGGGGGCCUUGGGGGUGGAAGCCUUUUGCGCCGGGAAAGGAGGCCGCCCGUGUUUGUGGGGGGGUGGCGGGAAGGGGGAAAGAAGGCCCGGGUAAAUAAGUG
rnacentral:rRNA from 1 species